rnacentral:rRNA from 1 species
UACGGAGGGGGCGAGCGUUAUUCGGAAUUAUUGGGCGUAAAGGGCGCGUAGGCGGCUGGGCAAGUCAAAGGUGAAAUCCCUCGGCUCAACUGAGGAACUGCCUUUGAAACUGCCUGGCUUGAGGCCGGGAGGGGGUAGCGGAAUUCCCAGUGUAGCGGUGAAAUGCGCAGAUAUCAGGAGGAACACCGGUGGCGAAGGCGGGUCUCUGGGCCGAUACUGACGCUGAGGAGCGAAAGCGUGGGGGAGCGAACAGG